UACGGAGGGUGCAAGCGUUAUCCGGAUUCACUGGGUUUAAAGGGUGCGUAGGAGGGCAGGUAAGUCAGUGGUGAAAUCUCCGAGCUUAACUUGGAAACUGCCGUUGAUACUAUCUGCCUUGAAUAUUGUGGAGGUGAGCGGAAUAUGUCAUGUAGCGGUGAAAUGCUUAGAUAUGACAUAGAACACCAAUUGCGAAGGCAGCUCGCUACACAUAUAUUGACUCUGAGGCACGAAAGCGCGGGGAUCAAACAGG
rnacentral:rRNA from 1 species